ACCUGCCUCGAAGUCAAAACCGUAGCUGAUUUCGUGAGCUACAAAAUUUGUCGCCUAGUUUUCAAACUCAACGCACCAAAGGCUUCAAUAUCGCACUUCACGAACCACAUCGUCAAAUAUCGCAACCGAACGGGUUCCAAGAAGCUGCUCUUCGAGCACUACGCCUGGCUGAGUGUGCAGUACAGUGCCUUCGGAACGAUAAAUCGACGGAUCGACCAACAACUAUCUACUUCAAAAUUAAUCAUAAUUGAAAGCUUCAGCGAGCAUUCGAAAACUGUGAUUACGUUGGUAUUUGAACAAGAUAACUUUAACGUUUAAUUGGUAAAACUACUUACGGAAUUGACACAUCCUAUUUGUUUUUCGCAACGGGUUUGCAUACUCAAAGUGAAAUUACCCGUUCUGUACACGAUACACAUCCGUAGGCAAACGUUCCAGAGUCCAGAGCCAAACGGAGUGCAAAUCGUAUUUCGGGAGUAUAUUCAUUCACCCGUAAACACCUGGGACGGAACUUGUUUUUUGAAAAUGCUCGUUCUCAGCACUCGAACGGCCGGUUUGGGAAAACUUGGAAUUUUAUUCAAGGGGAAUAGUUGCUCUAAGUUUUUAUAAAGAUGCCAACCCUCUGGACCCCUCCCCGUUUACGUGAGACGCAAAUAUGUCUGUGUUUUUUUUUGUAAUUUUUCAAACAGAUUGAGCAAACACUGGGAAUUUUCAUACGUAUCAAUUGCUCCAUGUAUCAAAUCAUGUCAGGUAGAUGAAAUAUGGUAUGUAAAAGUGAAUUUUAAAGUUUAUAAAUAAUUUCAGUACAAAAUCACAAAACUACGUAUUUUCAUAAAAAUUCAAAUAAGAAAAUCGUUCUUCAAAUUUUAAGCUCUACAUUUUUACGGUUAGGUCUCCUGAAUCAAUACGCGAUGAAAUGUUUAUUUUAGCAUGAAAUAUUUUGAGAAAAACGAGUUUAAAUUCACUCAAGUACGUAUUUUCAUGGAAACCUGAUUCUCUCAGUCUCCCACAGUAGGUUUCAACUUAGCUCUUCAAUUUUCAAGCUCUAUAUUUCUAGAGUAACAUCUUCUGAAUCCAAAGAUGCUGAAAGAUUUAUUCUAGCAUGCAAAAAACGAGUUUGAAUUCUUUGAAGUACGAGUUCUUAUGAAAACUUGAUUUUCUCCGAAUCUGCAGACCUUAAAAUUUGAAGAACGGCUUUGUUGUUUGAUUUUUUAUAAAAAUACGUAGUUUUAUGAUUUUGUACUGAAAUAAUUUGGAAACUCCAAAAUUCACUCUUACAUACCAUAUUUCAUCCAUCUGACAUGAUUUGAUACAUGGAGCAAUUGAUACGUAUGAAAAUUCCCAAAGUUUGCUCAAUCUGUUUGAAAAAUCACAAAAAAACACAUACAUAUUUGCGUCUCACAGAAACGGGGAAGGGUGCAGAGGGGUGGCACCUUUACCAAAACUUAGAGCUACUAUUCCCCUUGAAUAAAAUUCCAAGUUUUCCCAAAUCGGUCGUUCCUGUGCUGAGAACAAGCAUUUUCAAAAACAAGUUCCGUCCCGGGUCUUUACGGGUUAAUCAUUAUUUAUAAUUAUAUUGAAUUAAUCCAUAUAUAACGCUAAUCAUAUUUAUACCUAUCUGUUUAGUUUAACAUUAUUCAUAUCAUUCUUAUAUUUGAAUCAUUCAAAAUGCAAGAUUUUGUUUAAAAUUCAAUAACGUACAUAAAAAAUACCAGAAUCCAGUUUUUUGAAAAACGGAAAUGUUUUCGCACUAUUUAAAAAAGGCAGUGAUAUUGACUCCUGAUAUUGCGAGAAGUCAAAUUAGCACAGACUAUCUUUCUAGGGUUAAGAUGUGAUGUGAUUCAUUACAACAUUAGUUAUAUUUAAACUAAUUCAUAUAGAACAACUAGGGAUAUUGUGCGUUUAAACUAAAUGUAUGUAAG